CCGGCUGAGGAUGAGCCCGCGGCGGAUUAGCUUGUUGGUGGGGUAAUGGCUCACCAAGGCGACGAUCCGUAGCUGGUCUGAGAGGACGAUCAGCCACACUGGGACUGAGACACGGCCCAG
rnacentral:rRNA from 1 species